rnacentral:rRNA from 1 species
UCAGAUUGAACGCUGGCGGCAGGCCUAACACAGUGCAAGUCGAGCGGAAACGGCAGUAUUGAAGCUUCGGUGGAUUUACUGGACGUCGAGCGGCGGACGGGUGAGUAACGGCUGGGAACCUGCCCUGACGAGGGGGAUAACCGUUGGAAACGACGGCUAAUACCGCAUAAUGUCUUGAUUCGUUAGAGUCAGGACCAAAGGUGGCCUCUACAUGUAAGCUAUCGCGUUGGGAUGGGCCCAGUUAGGAUUAGCUAGUUGGUAAGGUAAUGGCUUACCAAGGCAACGAUCCUUAGCUGGUUUGAGAGGAUGAUCAGCCACACUGGGACUGAGACACGGCCCAGACUCCUACGGGAGGCAGCAGUGGGGAAUAUUGCACAAUGGGGGAGACCCUGAUGCAGCCAUGCCGCGUGUGUGAAGAAGGCCUUCGGGUUGUAAAGCACUUUCAGCAGUGAGGAAGGUCGUGUACUUAAUACGUGCACGGCUUGACGUUAGCUGCAGAAGAAGCACCGGCUAACUCCGUGCCAGCAGCCGCGGUAAUACGGAAGGUGCGAGCGUUAAUCGGAAUUACUGGGCGUAAAGCGCAUGCAGGCGGUUUGUUAAGUCAGAUGUGAAGCCCGGGGCUCAACCUCGGAACCGCAUUUGAAACUGGCAGGCUAGAGUCUUGUAGAGGGGGGUAGAAUUUCAGGUGUAGCGGUGAAAUGCGUAGAGAUCUGAAGGAAUACCAGUGGCGAAGGCGGCCCCCUGGACAAAGACUGACGCUCAGAUGCGAAAGCGUGGGUAGCAAACAGGAUUAGAUACCCUGGUAGUCCACGCCGUAAACGCUGUCUACUUGGAGGUUGAGGUUUUAGACUUUGGCUUUCGGCGCUAACGCAUUAAGUAGACCGCCUGGGGAGUACGGCCGCAAGGUUAAAACUCAAAUGAAUUGACGGGGGCCCGCACAAGCGGUGGAGCAUGUGGUUUAAUUCGAUGCAACGCGAAGAACCUUACCUACUCUUGACAUCCAGCGAAGCCUUUAGAGAUAGAGGCGUGCCUUCGGGAGCGCUGAGACAGGUGCUGCAUGGCUGUCGUCAGCUCGUGUUGUGAAAUGUUGGGUUAAGUCCCGCAACGAGCGCAACCCUUAUCCUUGUUUGCCAGCACGUAAUGGUGGGAACUCCAGGGAGACUGCCGGUGAUAAACCGGAGGAAGGUGGGGACGACGUCAAGUCAUCAUGGCCCUUACGAGUAGGGCUACACACGUGCUACAAUGGCAGAUACAGAGGGCAGCGAGACAGCGAUGUUUAGCGAAUCCCUUAAAGUUUGUCGUAGUCCGGAUUGGAGUCUGCAACUCGACUCCAUGAAGUCGGAAUCGCUAGUAAUCGUGGAUCAGAAUGCCACGGUGAAUACGUUCCCGGGCCUUGUACACACCGCCCGUCACACCAUGGGAGUGGGCUGCACCAGAAGUAGAUAGCUUAACCUCGGAGGGC